GACGAACGCUGGCGGCGUGCUUAACACAUGCAAGUCGAACGGAAAGGCCCUGCGUUUGUGGGGUGCUCGAGUGGCGAACGGGUGAGUAACACGUGAGUAACCUGCCCUUGACUUUGGGAUAACUUCAGGAAACGGGGGCUAAUACCGGAUAGGAGCUCCUGCUGCAUGGUGGGGGUUGGAAAGUCUCGGCGGGUGGGGAUGGACGCGCGGCUUAUCAGCUUGUUGGUGGGGUAGUGGCUUACCAAGGCUUUGACGGGUAGCCGGCCUGAGAGGGUGACCGGCCACAUUGGGACUGAGAUACGGCCCAGACUCCUACGGGAGGCAGCAGUGGGGAAUAUUGCACAAUGGGCGGAAGCCUGAUGCAGCAGCGCCGCGUGCGGGAUGACGGCCUUCGGGUUGUAAACCGCUUUCGCCUGUGACGAAGCGUGAGUGACGGUAAUGGGUAAAGAAGCACCGGCUAACUACGUG
rnacentral:rRNA from 1 species